rnacentral:tRNA from 1 species
GCCGGCGUAGCUCAGUGGCCAGAGCAGCGCAUUCGUAAUGCGCGGGUCAAGGGUUCGAAUCCCUUCGCCGGCUCCA